UACGUAGGGGGCAAGCGUUGUCCGGAUUUAUUGGGCGUAAAGGGUGCGUAGGCGGCCAUUUAAGUCAGAUGUGAAAGAUCACGGCUCAACCGUGGUAAGCAUUUGAAACUGAAAGGCUUGAGUUAAGGAGAGGAAAGUGGAAUUCCUAGUGUAGCGGUGAAAUGCGUAGAUAUUAGGAGGAAUACCAGUGGCGAAGGCGACUUUCUGGACUUAUACUGACGCUGAGGCACGAAAGCGUGGGGAGCGAACAGGAUUAGAUACCCUGGUAGUCCACGCCGUAAACGAUGAGUGCUAGGUGUUGGGGGUCAAACCUCGGUGCCGCAGCUAACGCAUUAAGCACUCCGCCUGGGGAGUACGUACGCAAGUAUGAAACUC
rnacentral:rRNA from 1 species